GAGGGAGGGUGAAGUGCUGCUUAGACUGGUGCCAAGAUGAGAGUCGGGUGCAGGGGUCACCACAUCUCCCCUCGUCACUCACAGGACAUUGAGCCCUUUGGAAGAGGGAACACCCUGCAUCUCAAAGUUCUAAGGAUGGCAAAGACUAUGAGCUAACAUUAGCAGCCAGCCCACCCUGCCAUCUUUCUUUCUCUAGAGCACUGAGACCCAACAUGUGACCUGGGGCCAGCAGCAUCACCUAGGAAAUUAUGAGAAAUACAGACUCUCAGACCCACAGGAUCAGAAGCUGCAUUUUAACAAGACUCAUCUUUACAAGACUCCAGGAGCUUAGGGUGCAGUGACGAACAGUGUUUGCUGACAGCAGCCCUCACCCAGACAAGAACCGAGGUCUCACACCAGCCAUCAUCAAGCCCAGAGUAGACCCCAAAAGAGGAAA
rnacentral:lncRNA from 10 species